GACGAACGCUGGCGGCGUGCCUAAUACAUGCAAGUUGAGCGCUGAAGGUUGGUACUUGUACCAACUGGAUGAGCAGCGAACGGGUGAGUAACGCGUGGGGAAUCUGCCUUUGAGCGGGGGACAACAUUUGGAAACGAAUGCUAAUACCGCAUAAAAACUUUAAACACAAGUUUUAAGUUUGAAAGAUGCAAUUGCAUCACUCAAAGAUGAUCCCGCGUUGUAUUAGCUAGUUGGUGAGGUAAAGGCUCACCAAGGCGAUGAUACAUAGCCGACCUGAGAGGGGGAUCGGCCACAUUGGAACGGAGAAACGGCCCAAACUCCUACGGGAGGCAGCAGUAGGGAAUCUUCGGCAAUGGGCGAAAGCCUGACCGAGCAACGCCGCGUGAGUGAAGAAGGUUUUCGGAUCGUAAAACUCUGUUGGUAGGGAAGAACGUUGGUGGGAGUGGAAAGCCCAACAAGGGACGGAAACAACCAAAAAAGGGGCGGCAAACUAGGG
rnacentral:rRNA from 1 species